rnacentral:lncRNA from 1 species
CUUGAGUUUGGUCAAUCAUUUCUGUCGUUGACUCGCUGAUGGUCACAGUCACACGGCUGGAAAAUGAAGGAAGAUAAUGGCGAUGUUCUCUACUCUGACGUGAAGUUCACAAAGAACAAGAAGAAAGCCAAAGAGACAGAUGUAUCAAAAGUGGACACCACCACCUAUGCUGAAGUCAACUUCAGGAAACCCCAGCAGAACCCAGAACCACCCGCUGAUUCCCAGCGUGUGAAACCCAGCCCAGGGUCAAAGGUCAGAGUGGAGAGAGCUGUCCUGGUCAUUGUUGGUUUUCUCCUGAUCGCUGCAGGCGUUGCUCUCGGUGUGAUCACGUUUGAAUACAUGAAGACCAAAGAGACGCUGAGGAGUGAGAAAGUAAAGUGGGAAGCAGAUAAAGCCAACCUCACAGACACACUCUCCAAGGUGAAAAGCUGCCCCACAGCAAGUCCACCUGUAUGUCCGACAAUUCCUAAAGAAAACCGUGAGUUUUUUCUGCUUAUGAUUCAAACUGGGUCCUAAAGGGCUGCAGUCGUGCACGUCUCAGCUGUCCUUUUUACACAGCUGGAUUUUAUGAAUGAGACGUGCUCGUUCUCAUUAAGGCAUUUGACAUUUUUUCUCCAGUUUUUAAACCUUACCUUCAUUUUUUGGCAUUUUAAUUUAUUUUUCCCUUUUUAUACCUUAAAAACAC